rnacentral:rRNA from 1 species
GACAGAGGUCCCGAGCGUUAGGCGGAAUCACUGGGCUUAAAGCGUGUGUAGGCGGCGGCCUAAGUACCUUGUGAAAUCCCACGGCUCACCCGUGGAACUGCUCGGUAUACUGGGUCGCUUGAGCCACUUAGGGGCUACCGGAACAAAUGGUGGAGCGGUGAAAUGCGUAGAUAUCAGGAGGAACACCGGUGGCGAAGGCAGGUCUCUGGGCAUUAACUGACGCUGAGGAGCGAAAGCAUGGGGAGCGAACAGG